UACGAAGGGGGCUAGCGUUGCUCGGAAUUACUGGGCGUAAAGGGCGCGUAGGCGGAUACUUAAGUCGGGGGUGAAAGCCCGGGGCUCAACCUCGGGAUUGCCUUCGAUACUGGGUAUCUUGAGUUCGGGAGAGGUGAGUGGAAUGCCGAGUGUAGAGGUGAAAUUCGUAGAUAUUCGGCGGAACACCAGUGGCGAAGGCGACUCACUGGCCCGAUACUGACGCUGAUGCGCGAAAGCGUGGGGAGCAAACAGG
rnacentral:rRNA from 1 species